rnacentral:rRNA from 1 species
AUUGAACGCUGGCGGCAGGCCUAACACAUGCAAGUCGAACGGAGUGGCGGACGGGUGAGUAAUGUCUGGGAAACUGCCUGAUGGAGGGGGAUAACCACUGGAAACGGUAGCUAAUACCGCAUAAUAUCAGAUGCGCCUAGGUCGGAUUAGCUAGUUGGUGGGGUAGAGGCCUACCAAGGCGACGAUCCGUAACUGGUCUGAGAGGAUGAUCAGUCAAACUGGAACUGAGACACGGUCCAGACUCCUACGGGAGGCAGCAGUGGGGAAUAUUGGACAAUGGGCGAAAGCCUGAUCCAGCCAUGCCGCGGGUGUGAAGAAGGUCUUCGGGUUGUAAAGCACUUUAAGUUGGGAGGCGUUACCAGCAGAAUAAGCACCGGCUAACUUCGUGCCAGCCGCCGCGGUAAUUC